rnacentral:rRNA from 1 species
UCGUGGGGCAGCAGGUCUGUAGCAAUACAGAUGCUGGCGACCGGCAAACGGGUGCGGAACACGUACGCAACCUUCCUUCAAGUGGGGGAUAGCCCGGGGAAACCCGGAUUAAUACCCCGUAAAAUUGUUAAGUGGCAUCACUUGAUAAUUAAAGCUCCGGCGCUUGAAGAUGGGCGUGCGCCUGAUUAGGUAGUUGGCGGGGUAAUGGCCCACCAAGCCUACGAUCAGUAACUGGUGUGAGAGCACGACCAGUCACACGGGCACUGAGACACGGGCCCGACUCCUACGGGAGGCAGCAGUAAGGAAUAUUGGUCAAUGGACGCAAGUCUGAACCAGCCAUGCCGCGUGGAGGAUGAAGGUCCUCUGGAUUGUAAACUUCUUUUAUCUGAGAAGAAACCCGGGAAUUCUUUUCCGGUUGACGGUACCAGAUGAAUAAGCACCGGCUAACUCCGUGCCAGCAGCCGCGGUAAUACGGAGGGUGCAAGCGUUAUCCGGAUUCACUGGGUUUAAAGGGUGCGUAGGUGGGUUGGUAAGUCAGUGGUGAAAUCCCCGAGCUUAACUUGGGAACUGCCGUUGAUACUAUCAAUCUUGAAUAUCGUGGAGGUAAGCGGAAUAUGUCAUGUAGCGGUGAAAUGCUUAGAUAUGACAUAGAACACCGAUAGCGGAGGCAGCUUACUACGCGAUUAUUGACACUGAGGCACGAAAGCGUGGGGAUCAAACAGGAUUAGAUACCCUGGUAGUCCACGCCCUA